rnacentral:rRNA from 1 species
AACGCUAGCUACAGGCUUAACACAUGCAAGUCGAGGGGAAACGACAUCGAAAGCUUGCUUUUGAUGGGUGUCGACCGGCGCACGGGUGAGUAACGCGUAUCCAACCUGCCCACCACUUGGGGAUAACCUUGCGAAAGUAAGACUAAUACCCAAUGACGUCUCUAGAAGACAUCUGAAAGAGAUUAAAGAUUUAUCGGUGAUGGAUGGGGAUGCGUCUGAUUAGCUUGUUGGUGGGGUAACGGCCCACCAAGGCAACGAUCAGUAGGGGUUCUGAGAGGAAGGUCCCCCACAUUGGAACUGAGACACGGUCCAAACUCCUACGGGAGGCAGCAGUGAGGAAUAUUGGUCAAUGGGCGAGAGCCUGAACCAGCCAAGUAGCGUGCAGGAUGACGGCCCUAUGGGUUGUAAACUGCUUUUAUAAGGGAAUAAAGUGAGCCUCGUGAGGCUUUUUGCAUGUACCUUAUGAAUAAGGACCGGCUAAUUCCGUGCCAGCAGCCGCGGUAAUACGGAAGGUCCGGGCGUUAUCCGGAUUUAUUGGGUUUAAAGGGAGCGUAGGCCGGAGAUUAAGCGUGUUGUGAAAUGUAGACGCUCAACGUCUGCACUGCAGCGCGAACUGGUUUCCUUGAGUACGCACAAAGUGGGCGGAAUUCGUGGUGUAGCGGUGAAAUGCUUAGAUAUCACGAAGAACUCCGAUUG